GGGCGGUUAGCUCAGUUGGUUAGAGCGCUUCGCUUACAUCGAAGAGGUCGGGAGUUCGAAUCUCUCACCGCCCACCA
rnacentral:tRNA from 1 species